CAGUCGAACGGCAGCACAGCAGAGCUUGCUCUGUGGGUGGCGAGUGGCGGACGGGUGAGUAAUGCAUCGGGACCUACCCAACUGUGGGGGAUAACGUAGGGAAACUUACGCUAAUACCGCAUACGUCCUACGGGAGAAAGCGGGGGACCUUCGGGCCUCGCGCGGUUGGAUGGACCGAUGUGCGAUUAGCUUGUUGGUGAGGUAACGGCUCACCAAGGCGACGAUCGCUAGCUGGUCUGAGAGGAUGAUCAGCCACACUGGGACUGAGACACGGCCCAGACUCCUACGGGAGGCAGCAGUGGGGAAUAUUGCACAAUGGGCGGAAGCCUGAUGCAGCGACGCCGCGUGAGGGAUGACGGCCUUCGGGUUGUAAACCUCUUUCAGCAGGGACGAAGCGUGAGUGACGGUACCUGCAGAAGAAGC
rnacentral:rRNA from 1 species